AUAAUUACCGAAGUGUGAAUGUGAUACUGCAGUUAGCGAGCGCAUAAUGUUUGUCCUCGGAAACACGUGACUCUUCGCGCUCGAUUAUAACAACAAUAACAACCAAAGCCGCGUCAGCACUACGAGUACACACGUUAACGGAGCUAGCAGGGACACUCCAUCACCUGCAUAUGUAAAAUUAAAGUAACGAGGAAAAAAAACAAACAAUGUGUCUAACAUUCAUAGCCAUAUAAAUAAACUCGCUGCAAAUUAGUCGUUAAAAAUGCUAAAAACCUCGGAUCUCUCAGGGGGUGGGUGAAAUCGAAUGUUUUCGGGAACGUGUUGUGAAUAACAGAAAUAAAAAUCUCUACCUAUU